UGAUCUUGUAAAUGCCUUUCAAGUUAGAACUCACUUAGUCUGUCAGCAGCAGCUGGGGAAAGUAGUACAAGCAUACCAUUUGUGGGGCCUUUAUUAUCAGGAGUAAAGUGAAUAUGAAGUUUUAUGCUGCCACAUUCUACUCUUGCAAGUGCCCAGGAGGCGGAGCUUCACUGUGAAGUGCUUUCUGCAUUCAGCUGCUUCAUAGCCCCUCCCUUCUGCUGUGACCGACGGCUGUAGCAUCCAAUCAGGAGACCACUACAGCUGUGACUCAAGCAGAGGAGAAGGGCCUCGGAGCCUUUCAUUGCAGAGAGCACUUCACAGUGAAUUUCCGCCUCCUGGGCACUUGCAGGAGCCGAAUCUGUCAGAAUAAAACUUUAUUCACAUUACUCCUCUUCAUAAAAGCUCUACAAAAGGCAAGUUUGUCUUGCUCUUUCCAGCCCCUACCUAGUGCUGUCAGCAGUUUAGUAUUGUCAAAACUGCUGACAGACUCCCUUCAAUUUUUUCCUUUGCUGUGGCAGUUUCCUUCUGCUUCUUACAUAAUUUUAGAUCCUUUUACAGGUUCCACAAACAAUUGUUUCUGCAGUCUAUGGUUACAGUGUACAUUCACAUGUAGCAGAAAUGCUGCAGGUUUUGUCUGGAUUUGCAGGCAGAAAAUCCGCAGUGAAAUAUCUGCAGCAAAAAGGUUGAGACUAACAAAUGUCCUUCAUAUACUGCAGAGAAAUUGAUCUGUAGCUGUAGCAUGUCUGUUCUUACUGCAGAUUUUCAUCCCUCUCAAUGUAGCUGGGUGAAAUCUGCUACACAAAAUCCACAUGUAAUACAAGUGCAUUUGUCUUGGAAUAUGCAGCCAAAGCCAGUAAGCGUGACCAUACCCAAAGGAUAGCCAUAAAAUACAAUGUACAAAUUUUAUAGUCAUUCAUCCAGUGGAUGGUGCACAUAUCAUCAAAAAUAAAGUAAGAGUGAUGUUGCCCUUAGCAACAGAUAUUUUUGCUUGUAAAUGUUGCUAAGAAGUAAAUCUGGUUGCUAUGGGCAACACAGUCAACUCCCCCUGAAUAGUGAAUCCCACUGCAGAUCCAUAUCAGCCACAUUGGGUUCCCAUCAAGUCAAUAGACAUGCUGUAUAUGGCCGCUUUCAGAUGAGCGAGUGUCACGCUCCGGACUCGCAGCGCAGCACCCAUCCUGACCUCCCAGCACUGCCAGGGUCGCAUAGCAUUAUAUUGACUUAUGAUGCUUCGUAACCCUUACAGUUCUGGAAUGUAUUGGAUGACACAGACAUAAUGCUGUCCGUGUCAUCCAAUACAUUCCAGAACUUCAAGGCCCCUUUCAUAUGAGUGAGUUUUCCACGCG